GACGAACGCUGGCGGCAUGCUUAACACAUGCAAGUCGAACGGAAAGUGCUUCUUCUUGUGGCGUACUCGUGAGUCACGCGUAAGAACCUCCCGUUGGUAGCGUGCCCUCAACUUUAAACUAUUUCUAAUAAACCGUGGCCUAAACAGCAUAGGGACGCCUGCGCCCUAGGGGGGGCUCGCGUCUGAUUGGCUAGUUGGUGAGGUAAUAGCUUACCCAGCCGAUGAUUAGUAGCUGGUCCGAGAGGAUGAUCAGCAACACUGCGACUGAGACACGGGCCAGACUCCGGGGGGAGGCAGUAGUGGGGAAUGUACCGCAAGGGGAGAAAGGAUGAAGGAGCAAUGCCGGGGGGAGGAGGAAGGCCUACGGGUAGUCAACUUCUGUUCGCGGAGAAGAAAGAAUGACGGUAACUGAGGAAGAAGCAUCGGCUAACUCUGUG
rnacentral:rRNA from 1 species